CGUGGACCCGGCCCUAUCUGUCUGCCUGUCCGAGCACCGGUGUUUGAGGGCCGAUCGAGGGGCCAGAUUUUGCUCCCAGAAGCCGGUGGGCUGAGGAGCGGUUUGAGGCCUCGGAGGCCCGGGGCGCAGCGGCGUCUGGUCGGGGCGCAGCGGCCAGGGCCGCGUCUGGUGCACGGCCCCACCCUUUUCGCUCCCGCUGGCCCUCCCUGCAUUGUUUGGCCUCCCUGGCACCGGCCGGGCCUCUUCGGCCGCCAUGUGCUGAGAGGCGUUCUCACAUUUUUCUCCCGAGUCGGGCUGGAGCGUAAACAGUGCUGGACGGCGGGCAUCCGGGCUCCGGGGUCCCUGCGGCUCUAUCCGGUGUUUGUCCUUCCCCAGGGUGGGGUCUGGGACAGGCAUUCAUGUGUCCCGGGAGCAGGCAGGACAAAUGGCCUCUCCGCGGCCGGUGCAGAGGGCUUGGUGUUUAUCCGGCUGGGCCACGUGACCGCCCACGUUCCUUCCAUGACACGAGUGCACGAAGCGUGUUCUGUCUGCUUCACAGGAAGUUUAUGGCUGACGGUGGAGUGUGGCGUGAGGCCCGUAAUCAGCUCCUGUGUGCGCGGCCUCUGACGAUUUCAGGGGGAGACGCGCUGCCCCCAUGCCCCCCCCCACACCAGGCAGCCUGGGGAGGCCUUUCCCUGGGGGAGGGGAGCACAGCGAGACCCCCGCACCUGCAGGGUCAGCGGGAGGCUCAGCCCCUGGCGUGUGUUCCAGACAGGAGCCCCUCAGGGAGCCUUGAGACGGCUGGUCCCAGGGGUCCACGCUGCAGGGCAGGACGGGGCACUGCCCAGGCCGCCGGUCACUCUGAGGCCGACAGCGCGUCAGCAGGGCAGGCCCACCCUCAGCGGCUGUCCCUGGUGGGCCCUCCCGGCCGUUGUCGUCACCCCGGCCAGGCUGUGCAGCACGGGGACGCAGGGAGCCUCUCUGUCCAGGGUACGACAGGUGGUCAGAUGUCUGCAGUUUCUGUAAGACCUUGGACGAGUUACACAGUUCAGCCCCGCCUCCAGCACUGCCUCCUCAGCAAGGCCUCCCUGACUGCACAGAUGGACGCUCUCAUAGCAGAGGCCAGAGAGGGAGCCCAGCCCCUCCACCAGGGAGUACACAGCACGACCACGCUCCCGGAGCCGGAAGUGCCCUCGCCAGUGCCCGGCGCUGUGGACGUGCGCCCUGCAGAACUGCAAGUAGGAAGUUUCUGUUGUUUUAUAAACUUCAGUUCAUGGUAUUUUGUUAAAGCAGCUGGAGCAGUGUGA
rnacentral:lncRNA from 1 species